UCCUGGGUGGUCUAGUGGUUAGGAUUCAGCACUUUUGCUGCUGCAGCCCAGGUUCAAUCCCUGGUCUGGGAC